rnacentral:other from 1 species
AUUUCCCUGCACUGUUGGUGAUGAUCAGUGUGUGUUGAGCCAACUCUCAAAAAAAGGGUACCUUCUCUGUUUACUUAAGGAGGGUCAUUUUUUGACGUACCUGACGUGGAUAUGAGGCUGCCCACCUAUUUUAUAGGUUUAACUUUCCUGGUUACACGGCAGUGUGGGGAUUAU